rnacentral:rRNA from 1 species
UACGGGGGGGGCAAGCGUUGUUCGGAAUUACUGGGCGUAAAGGGCGCGCAGGCGGUUUGGUAAGUCGGAUGUGAAAACCCGGGGCUCAACCCCGGGCGUGCAUCUCGAUACUGCCCGACUAGAGGUAGGUAGGGGAGAUCGGAAUUCCUGGUGUAGCGGUGAAAUGACGCAGAUAUCAGGAGGAACACCGGUGGCGAAGGCGGAUCUCUGGGCCUUACCUGACGCUCAGGCGCGAAAGCUAGGGGAGCGAACAGG